rnacentral:rRNA from 1 species
CUCGUAGGCGGUCUGUCACGUCGGACGUGAAAAUCCAGGGCUCAACCCUGGACCUGCGUUCGAUACGGGCAGACUAGAGUUCGGUAGGGGAGACUGGAAUUCCUGGUGUAGCGGUGAAAUGCGCAGAUAUCAGGAGGAACACCGGUGGCGAAGGCGGGUCUCUGGGCCGAAACUGACGCUGAGGAGCGAAAGCGUGGGGAGCAAACA